UGACGAUUUGGUUUUUGGCGAUACUUUACGGGAAUCGAAAAAAGGCUGCAAACUGCAACCAGUAAAAAAACGAUCUUUUCAACAAACAAAUAUUUACAAUAAAUAAAAAUCAUCAAUUCUAUUACGUCCCAAGGUCCCUAAAAUGCAACUAGAAUUUCUUCGCUG